rnacentral:rRNA from 2 species
CGGAGCAUGUGGUUUAAUUCGAAGCAACGCGAAGAACCUUACCAGGGCUUGACAUGCCGCUGACCGGUGCAGAGAUGCAUCUUUAUCCUUCGGGGUACAGCGGACACAGGUGGUGCAUGGUUGUCGUCAGCUCGUGUCGUGAGAUGUUGGGUUAAGUCCCGCAACGAGCGCAACCCUUGUCUUUAGUUGCCAUCAUUAAGUUGGGCACUCUAAAGAGACUGCCGAUGACAAAUCGGAGGAAGGUGGGGAUGACGUCAAAUCAUCAUGCCCUUUAUGUCCUGGGCUACACACGUGCUACAAUGGUCGGUACAACGAGAAGCAAGCCAGCGAUGGCAAGCAAAUCUCUAAAAGCCGAUCCCAGUUCGGAUUGCAGGCUGCAACUCGCCUGCAUGAAGUCGGAGUUGCUAGUAAUCGCGGAUCAGAAUGCCGCGGUGAAUACGUUCCCGGGCCUU